GUCUUGGCUGGCGCCAAGCUUUGAAGAAAAGAUCAAUUGUUGCAUACCCAACUAAGAACUACAAUAAAUCCUACAUUCAAUUCAGUCUUGGAAGUUGUGCUAGUCUGUGCCCAUUAUACAUCCGAAAGGAAAAUCAAAUGCAUACCAGAAUGAGUUUGAAGCGAAGAGGAUAAUUUAUAUCACGUGGCAGCUCGGGCGCCAUGACUCCAUCUCUUUGGUUGUAGUGCUUCAAUUCCUGAUAUAUACUUCUGCAUCCGUUCGACUGUGUCUAUGAUGACAGGUACUGAUGGAGGUAGUUCAAUGGGAGGUUCGUCCAACAACAUUGCUAAGGUUGAAGAUCAUUUUGGAGGGAUCAUCAUGCAGCCCUAUGAUGUUCCUGCUGGAGGCACUGCUCAUAUAUUUGUUGGACUUCAUACUAAAAUGGUACUUUAACUGAGAAGCUUGAUCCCCCAAACAAUCUCGUGCCUCUGACCAUGUAACAAGUAUCAAUGCUUCUUCCUUCAGUGCAAUAGGAGGUGCGUUGUGUCUCCAUGGAAUGCUAGUAAGCAUUGUAAGUGGAAAAUAUACCACUAGCUUGGUCGGUUCAGACUUAAGCCAAAAUUUCAGUA